rnacentral:sRNA from 1 species
AUUGCGCCCCGGCUUGAACGGAGCUCUUUUUGCGGAACGAAGUGGAGCAAAAAAGCGGGAGUGGAAGACGGAUAAAGGC